rnacentral:rRNA from 1 species
CCUACGGGAGGCAGCAGUGAGGAAUAUUGGACAAUGGGCGCAAGCCUGAUCCAGCCAUGCCGCGUGCAGGAUGACGGUCCUAUGGAUUGUAAACUGCUUUUGCACAGGAAGAAACAACUCUACGUGUAGAGUCUUGACGGUACUGUGAGAAUAAGGAUCGGCUAACUCCGUGCCAGCAGCCGCGGUAAUACGGAGGAUCCAAGCGUUAUCCGGAAUCAUUGGGUUUAAAGGGUCCGUAGGCGGUCAGAUAAGUCAGUGGUGAAAGCCCAUCGCUCAACGGUGGAACGGCCAUUGAUACUGUCUGACUUGAAUUAUUAGGAAGUAACUAGAAUAUGUAGUGUAGCGGUGAAAUGCUUAGAGAUUACAUGGAAUACCAAUUGCGAAGGCAGGUUACUACUAAUGGAUUGACGCUGAUGGACGAAAGCGUGGGUAGCGAACAGGAUUAGAUACCCCAGUAGUC